UACGGGGGGUGCGAGCGUUGUCCGGAAUCACUGGGCGUAAAGGGCGCGUAGGCGGCCUACUAAGUCGGACGUGAAAUCCCUCGGCUUAACCGGGGAACUGCGUCUGAUACUGGAUGGCUUGAGUUUGGGAGAGGGAUGCGGAAUUCCAGGUGUAGCGGUGAAAUGCGUAGAUAUCUGGAGGAACACCGGUGGCGAAGGCGGCAUCCUGGACCAAUACUGACACUGAUGAGCGAAAGCCAGGGGAGCAAACGGG
rnacentral:rRNA from 1 species